rnacentral:rRNA from 1 species
AUUGAACGCUGGCGGCAUGCCUUACACAUGCAAGUCGAACGGUAACAGGUCUUCGGAUGCUGUCGAGUGGCGAACGGGUGAGUAAUACAUCGGAACGUGCCUAGUAGUGGGGGAUAACUACUCGAAAGAGUGGCUAAUACCGCAUGAGAUCUACGGAUGAAAGCAGGGGAUCGCAAGACCUUGUGCUACUAGAGCGGCCGAUGGCAGAUUAGGUAGUUGGUGGGAUAAAAGCUUACCAAGCCGACGAUCUGUAGCUGGUCUGAGAGGACGAUCAGCAACACUGGGACGGAGACACGGCCCAGGCUCCUACGGGAGGCAGCAGUGGGGAAUUUUGGACAAUGGGCGAAAGCCUGAUCCAGCAAUGCAGCGUGCAGGAUGAAGGCCUUCGGGUUGUAAACUGCUUUUGUACGGAACGAAAAGCCCCGGGUUAAUACCCUGGGGUCAUGACGGUACCGUAAGAAUAAGCACCGGCUAACUACGUGCCAGCCGCCGCAGUAA